CAGAAGUGUUUUUGACUGAACAUCUACCCUAACACAAUUGCUUGAAUUGUCAUUAACUUUGUCAUUUUUGCCACACAGGUGAACUCUGAGGAAUACAAUGGUGUAAUCACUUUUGUAAAUACUGGCAAUAUGCACUGGACGUUUGUGUAUCUGCAUGCUAUAUCACAAACCAUUUUUGUUGUUGACCCUCAAUCUGGCACUAAUGAAAUGGAAGAAGCAGUGCUACAACAAAAGGCGUGUUACAGAUUUGGGGAAUACUUCAAAAUGAGAUAACGUCAGUAUGGAAAAGAGGACUGGGUGGAAGACAAAUGGAAACCUGGCAAAAUCCACCACACAUUUCAAAGAGAUGGCAUGAGUUGUGGUGAUUUUGUAAUGCAGAUGGCCAAGCUUGUGGUGCAGGAAUUUCCACAAAUUCCUGACAGCAUGGAAAUAACCCCCACCAAAGACUGGAUGUGCCAUUGUAACUUUAACCACGUGUGUCCUGCUUUCUCAGGUUCAGUGCAAAAAAUGCAAGAGGUGGUAUCAUAUAAAAUGCUUAAAUGUUGCAGUCCCACAGGAAGACCAAUCAUGGUUCUGUUGCUUAUGUAUUUGUUUGUUUUAAAAAAAAAAAAAAAAAAAAAAGUUUCUUUUUUGGAUUUUUGUUUCAAACAAUGUGUUAAUCUAUGCAGUGCUAAAACAUGAUUAUGUUUAUAUGUAGUUCACUUAGUUUAAAAACAAGACAUGUCUGUAAUAAAGAGCUGAAAACAAUCACUGAA